AGCAUAUGUUAACUCCUAUCCCAACCUCCUCGUAAUGUUAGUUGGAUUAUAAUUUCAGCACAUGUAUUUAUCAUUAUACAGUGCUCAAUUUAUAUACUAAUAGGGAAGG
rnacentral:ribozyme from 1 species